rnacentral:rRNA from 1 species
AUACGUAGGGGGCAAGCGUUAUCCGGAUUUACUGGGUGUAAAGGGAGCGUAGACGGAAGGCCAAGUCUGAUGUGAAAGCCCGCGGCUCAACUGCGGGACUGCAUUGGAAACUGGUCAUCUGGAGUGCAGGAGGGGUAAGCGGAAUUCCUAGUGUAGCGGUGAAAUGCGUAGAUAUGCCACAGAACGCCGAUAGCGGAGGCAGCUCGCCAGGCCUGCAUUGACGCUCGGGCACGAAAGCGUGGGGAUCGAACAGGAUUAGAGACCCGGGUAGUCCACGCCGUAAACGAUGGGCGCGCGUCGUCGGCGGCAGACAGUCGGCGGCCAAGCGAAAGCGAUAAGCGCCCCACCUGGGGAGUACGGUCGCAAGGCUGAAACUCAAAUGAAUUGACGGGG